rnacentral:lncRNA from 1 species
UUUUUUUUUUUUCCAGAGGAGAGUACAGGUCGUGCUGCAGUUAGUUCAUUGAAAACUCAUUUGCUCUUGGAGCAGUCAGGCAGUGACUGCCUUCGGCUUUUUUUCUGCUGACUAAGAUCUCCUAUAGAGAGCUACAACAAUGCCCAAAAGAAAGGCUGCAGGUCAAGGUGAUAUGAGGCAGGAGAUUUUUGUUUUUAACUUAUAGCCAAAGAGAAGAUCUGCCAGGUUGUCUGCUAUGCUUGUGCCAGUUACACCAGAGGUGAAGCCUAAAAGAACAUCAAGUUCAAGGAAAAUGAAGACAAAAAGUGAUAUGAUGGAAGAAAACAUAGAUACAAGUGCCCAAGCAGUUGCUGAAACCAAGCAAGAAGCAGUUGUUGAAGAAGACUACAAUGAAAAUGCUAAAAAUGGAGAAGCCAAAAUUACAGAGGCACCAGCUUCUGAAAAAGAAAUUGUGGAAGUAAAAGAAGAAAAUAUUGAAGAUGCCACAGAAAAGGGAGGAGAAAAGAAAGAAGCAGUGGCAGCAGAAGUAAAAAAUGAAGAAGAAGAU